rnacentral:hammerhead_ribozyme from 1 species
AUCCAGCUGAUGAGUCCUAAAUAAGACGAAACGCGCGUCAAACUGGAU